rnacentral:snRNA from 1 species
GUGCUUUGGCAGCACAUAUACUAAAAUUGGAAGAAUACAGGGAAGAUUAGCAUGGCCCCUGCGCAGGAUGACACACAAAUUGGUGAGGCAUUCCGUUGUUUU